rnacentral:ncRNA from 1 species
UACCUGGUUGAUCCUGCCAGUAGUCAUAUGCUUGUCUCAAAGAUUAAGCCAUGCAAGUCUAAGUACGAGCUCUCGUACAGUGAAACUGCGAAUGGCUCAUUAAAUCAGUUAUGGUUCAUUUGAUCGUACAGUUUACUUGGAUAACUGUGGUAAUUCUAGAGCUAAUACAUGCGAGAAGCGCCGACCUCGCGGGAGGCGUGCAUUUAUCAGACCAAAAACCGGCCGCGUCUUCGGGCGCGUUCGCCUUGGUGACUCUGGAUAACUUUGCGGAUCGCACGGUCUAGCACCGGCGACGGAUCAUUCAAGUGUC